rnacentral:pre_miRNA from 1 species
CAACCACUCCCUCUGUCCCAAAUUUCUUGUCUUAGAUUGUCUAGAUACGGAUGUAUCUAAUACUAAAAUGUGACUUGAUACAUAUGUAUCUAGACAAAUCUAAGACAAGAAUUUUGGGACGGAGGGAGUACUUU